GACGAACGCUGGCGGCGUGCUUAACACAUGCAAGUCGAGCGGUAAGGCCCUUUCGGGGGUACACGAGCGGCGAACGGGUGAGUAACACGUGGGUGACCUGCCCUUAGCUCUGGGAUAAGCCUGGGAAACUGGGUCUAAUACCGGAUAUGACUCCAUGACGCAUGUUGUGGGGUGGAAAGCCUUGUGCGGCUAGGGAUGGGCCCGCGGCCUAUCAGCUUGUUGGGUGGGGUGAUGGCCUACCAAGGCGACGACGGGUAGCCGGCCUGAGAGGGCGACCGGCCACACUGGGACUGAGACACGGCCCAGACUCCUACGGGAGGCAGCAGUGGGGAAUCUUGCGCAAUGGGCGAAAGCCUGACGCAGCGACGCCGCGUGGGGAUGACGGCCU
rnacentral:rRNA from 1 species